rnacentral:snRNA from 1 species
GUGCUCACUUUGGCAGCGCACACACUAAAACUGGAAGGAUACAGAGAUGAUUAGAAUGGCCCCUGAGCAGGAAUAGCCCUCUUCUCUAAAAGGCAGAUAGUUUC